GAAGAAGAAGAAGACUUUUACCCCACAACCGAAGCAAUCGUUGAAUCGCUGUUAGAUGCGAGGGUGACAAUAAAGCGCCGCUAACGGAUUCAAAAUGCUAUACCACCAUGACGUAUUCCUAGGUCUUGUCAUGCUCGAGGUUAAAGAAGAAAACUGGUUCUCGUGGAGGAGUAACAUCAUGUUCUCUAUAGUUACUGGAAGAUGGGGGAUCCUCCGCAGUCACUAGCAAAUUGUCGUCUCCGUGUGUCCAAUGUGCAUUUUUAUGGAGAUGACUUCUCAGGUUUUUCUCAUUGUACAGUUUUGAUGUAUGGGUGGUAUUUUCUAACCUCUUAUUUUAUUUGUUUGUAUAUAU
rnacentral:lncRNA from 1 species